rnacentral:rRNA from 1 species
GGCCGUGCUUGCACGGUCUGAUUAGUGGCGAACGGGUGAGUAACACGUGAGUAACCUGCCCUCCACUUCGGGAUAACCUCGGGAAAUCGUGGCUAAUACCGGAUAUGAGCACUCAUCGCAUGGUGGGUGUUGGAAAGAUUUAUCGGUGGGGGAUGGACUCGCGGCCUAUCAGUUUGUUGGUGAGGUGAUGGCUCACCAAGACGAUGACGGGUAGCCGGCCUGAGAGGGCGACCGGCCACACUGGGACUGAGACACGGCCCAGACUCCUACGGGAGGCAGCAGUGGGGAAUAUUGCACAAUGGGCGAAAGCCUGAUGCAGCGACGCCGCGUGAGGGAUGACGGCCUUCGGGUUGUAAACCUCUUUCAGUAGGGAAGAAGCGAAAGUGACGGUACCUGCAGAAGAAGCGCCGGCUAACUACGUGCCAGCAGCCGCGGUAAUACGUAGGGCGCAAGCGUUGUCCGGAAUUAUUGGGCGUAAAGAGCUUGUAGGUGGCUUGUCGCGUCUGCCGUGAAAACCCGAGGCUCAACCUCGGGCGUGCGGUGGGUACGGGCAGGCUAGAGUGUGGUAGGGGAGACUGGAACUCCUGGUGUAGCGGUGAAAUGCGCAGAUAUCAGGAAGAACACCGAUGGCGAAGGCAGGUCUCUGGGCCAUUACUGACACUGAGAAGCGAAAGCAUGGGUAGCGAACAGGAUUAGAUACCCUGGUAGUCCAUGCCGUAAACGUUGGGCACUAGGUGUGGGGGACAUUC